rnacentral:rRNA from 1 species
UACGAAGGGUGCAAGCGUUACUCGGAAUUACUGGGCGUAAAGCGUGCGUAGGUGGUUUGUUAAGUCUGCUGUGAAAUCCCCGGGCUCAACCUGGGAAUGGCAUUCGGGACUGCAAGGCUGGAGUGCGGCAGAGGAGACUGGAAUUCCUGGUGUAGCAGUGAAAUGCGUAGAUAUCAGGAGGAAUACCGAUGGCGAAGGCAGGUCUCUGGGCUGACACUGACGCUGAUGCACGAAAGCGUGGGGAGCAAACAGG